UCCGGCUUGUCACCGGCGGUUUCUUUAGAGUGCCCAACUGAAUGGUGGCAACUAAAGAUGAGGGUUGCGCUCGUUGCGGGACUUAACCCAACAUCUCACGACACGAGCUGACGACAGCCAUGCAGCACCUGUGUUCCAGCCAGCCGAACUGAAGGAUCUAGUCUCCUAAAUCCAUACUGGACAUGUCAAAGGUUGGUAAGGUUCUUCGCGUUGCGUCGAAUUAAACCACAUACUCCACCGCUUGUGCGGGCCCCCGUCAAUUCAUUUGAGUUUCAACCUUGCGGCCGUACUCCCCAGGCGGCAUGCUUAGUGCGUUAGCUGCGACACUUGAACCAUGAUGGUUCGAACGUCUAGCAUGCAUCGUUUACGGCGUGGACUAC
rnacentral:misc_RNA from 1 species